rnacentral:rRNA from 1 species
UACGUAGGGGGCAAGCGUUGUCCGGAAUCAUUGGGCGUAAAGCGCGCGUAGGCGGCCAGAUAAGUCCGGUGUGAAAGUCACAGGCUCAACCUGUGAAUGCCGCUGGAAACUGUCUGGCUUGAGUCCGGAAGGGGCGAGUGGAAUUCCUGGUGUAGCGGUGAAAUGCGCAGAUAUCUGGAAGAACACCAGUGGCGAAGGCGGCUCUCUGGGACGGUACUGACGCUGGAGACGCGAAAGCGUGGGGAGCGAACAGG